GUUUGCAUGUUCCUGGUCGUGUGAGUUGCAGAGAAUGUGUGAACUGGAAUUUGAAGUCAGGAUGGAUUAAUACAUCUCAGGAUACACCUUGACAGAGGCAUUAAUUCACCGCAGGUUCACUCCACAUGGAAUCUCUGCAUUUUUAUGACAUGUACAGUUGGUUGUAAUGCCAUACUGGGUAUCAUGUAUAACAUCAAAGAGCUAAUGUAUCUGAAAAGUGCCCAUCUCUGAGGUGGACAGAUGCCAAUUGGGACAUCGUGUAUCGUGUAACAUAUUUCAGCUCGAGGCUCAGAAAUGUCACAGGAUCCACAGAAUCCUUGAAGAACAGAGAGGACCUCAGCUUCUGAUGUGUCACUCAAAGGAGAGGAUCAUCCCCUGUUCACUGUAAGAGCUGGGUUUGGCAGCAGGGAUGAAUCAUAGCUGGCAGCUAACAAGGUCCUCACCUGUUUGUUGCAAAAGUUAGGUCUUGUCCACUGCUGGAGAUACCACCAAGAUAUUGGAAAUCUGUGGCACAGCUGAAUCUUUUCUGUCUGUAACAAAACUCUGUAUUCAGACUGGAUGAAGGGCCCGGGAAGGUUGACUGAGAACUCUUCUGUUGAAGGCAUUUUUUCAGAUGGCUUUUCCAGCAACUGUCUCCCAUGGUAGU